AGGGGCAGCGGGGACUUCGGUCCGCCGGCGACCGGCAAACGGGUGCGGAACACGUACACAACCUUCCUUCGAGCGGGGGAUAGCCCAGAGAAAUUUGGAUUAAUACCCCAUGGUAAAAUGAAGAGGCAUCUUUUUAUUUUUAAAGAUUUAUCACUUGAAGACGGGUGUGCGUAUGAUUAGGUAGUUGGUGGGGUAAAGGCUCACCAAGCCAACGAUCAUUAACUGGUGUGAGAGCACGACCAGUCACACGGGCACUGAGACACGGGCCCGACUCCUACGGGAGGCAGCAGUAAGGAAUAUUGGUCAAUGGAGGGAACUCUGAACCANCCAUGCCGCGUGGAGGAUGAAGGUCCUCUGGAUUGUAAACUUCUUUUAUAUGGGGCGAAAAAGGGUCUUUUUAGAUCAACUGACGGUACCAUAUGAAUAAGCACCGGCUAACUCCGUGCCAGCAGCCGCGGUAA
rnacentral:rRNA from 1 species